GUGAUUGGGAGCUCCAGCUCCAGCCCUGCUGUGGUCCCACCCUCACAGGCUGAGUGAAGGCAUCUGCUCCAAGCAGCCAAUCCUACAGGGAACCUGCUGCUUCCCAGCACCUGCUCCCUGCCCAGUCCCCUCCUCUGCAUAUACAAAAACCUAUUAAGCACAGACAAGCCUCAAGUAUUCCCCAAAUGAGUCAUUAACCAGGUCCUGGUAACAGGUGUUCCUUUAAAAAGCCCUCUGAAGCCUUCAGAAACAAGGGGAGCGGGAGUGCUUGGCUUUCAUCAUGCACCAAAAGCAGAUUUCUUUUCGCAGCAGGAUGGCAGGCUGCCGCGGCCGAUAAAAGCACGCGGUGCGUUCAGCCCCAGCUGCAGCGGGACCGUGUGCCCAGCGCUGCCUUCCCCACUUGUAAUUUCUUAAUCUGGUUUGGAAUCUUUUAUUACUCCCGGCUCUCAUCUGCUUUUUGUUCGCUCGUUGCCUCCUCCCUUCUUGCUCCAAUUAAAUUAUGAGCUGCAGCCGAUUGCUUUUAGCCGGGGCUGCUCCACCUUCUGCUCUCGGGCGGCGUGGCUGAAUGCUCAGAGCAUCCGGGCCGCGGUCCCUUAUAGGGAUGCUCUUUGCAUGCAUUUAAAGCCAGGAGCGCUGUGGAUCCCAGUACCUGCUCCUCUGGGUGCCAGCACACACUUAUGGGAGCACCAUGGGCUGAGCGGUGCUGGCACUGAACGCACAUUGCAGCAAUGCCUGAGAAAUCGCUGCUGUGAGGACGGGGUUAGGAAGAGCAGGUACAUUGGGAAGAAUGGGGCUGCUGCUGUAUUUUAAGCCGCCUGGUUUGAAAGCUGUGAAAGCAGAACGGAGGAUUUAAUGGCACGUUAAAUAUACGGCUGAUUGUUAGGUCCAAUUCUGAUUCCAAGGCAAAUAUGGCCCUGGGAAUUAAGGAUGAAGAUGAGUUUCACUACGAGGAUCCAAAGGGCGGCUGCCCAUCUGUAGGGCCAUCUGUGGUGCCGGCGGGGUGGGUGAUGGAGCAGGAAGAGUCUGGAGGUGAUGGUUGGACCAUGGAGCUGCCCCAGCUCCCAGCCCUGCAGCACCCUUUGAUGGAGCUGAAUGGUGAGAACAAGCAGAGAGAAAACGCUGCUGAGCAGGAGAAAAUGGGAGGGGGGCACCAAACCCAACCCCAUUCUUUUGCAUAUUCAAAUGAAGUCGUAAUAUUGCUAGGGACUUGA
rnacentral:lncRNA from 1 species